UGCAAGUCGAGCGGUAGAGUAUUUAGCUUGCUAAAUACUUGAGAGCGGCGAACGGGUGAGUAACAUGUUGAAAUCUGCCCCAAAGUCAGGGAUAGCCAGAGGAAACUCUGAUUAAUACCGGAUAUGCUCUAAGGAGUAAAGAUUUAUUGCUUUGGGAGGAGUCUACACGGUAUCAGUUAGUUGGUGAGGUAAGAGCUCACCAAGACGAUGACGCCUAGCUGGUCUGAGAGGAUGAUCAGCCACAAUGAAACUGAGACACGGUUCAUACUCCUACGGGAGGCAGCAGUGAGGAAUCUUCCACAAUGGACGAAAGUCUGAUGGAGCGACACCGCGUGAAGGAUGAAGGCCUAACGGUUGUAAACUUCUUUUCUGAAGGAGCAUAAUGAGAGUACUUCAGGAAUAAGGGACGGCUAAUUACGUGCCAGCAGCCGCGGUAAUACGUAAGUCCCGAGUGUUACCCGGAAUUAUUGGGUGUAAAGGGUUCGUAGGUGGACUGAUAAGUUGGAUAUAAAAGACCGAGGCUCAACCUCGAGUUAGUGUCCAAAACUGCUAGUCUAGAAUUAGGGAGAGGUAAGUGGAAUUCUGUGUGUAGGGGUGCAAUCCGUAGAUACACAGAGGAACACCAAAAGCGAAGGCAACUUACUGGAACUAUAUUGACACUGAUGAACGAAAGCGUGGGUAGCGAAAAGGAUUAGAUACCCUUGUAGUCCACGCCCUAAAUGAUGAUAACUAAGUGUUGGGGCAAGCCCCCAGUGCUGAAGCUAACGCAUUAAGUUAUCCACCUGAGGAGUACGGUCGCAAGAUUAAAACUCAAAGGAAUAGACGGGGACCCACACAAGCAGUGGAUCACGUGGUUUUAUUCGAUAAU
rnacentral:rRNA from 1 species